GAAUUUGAAUUUUUGAAUUCAAAUUUAAAUAUAUUUUUUAAAAAAAAUAAAAAAUAUUGUCGGAUAGAGGUUUGUAGACUAAUGGAUCGUUUGGCCUAGCUUCUAAAAAUGUGAUUUCGGAAAAAGUAAUUUUGGUUUCGAGAAAUGAUUUUAGUUAAAAACUGUAGAGCGUUUGGAUGAUCUAGUUUAGAUAAAAGUGAAUUUUCUGAAGUGAUUUUAAAAAACUGUUUGGCAAANUGAUUUUGAAAAACUGUUUGGCAAAUUUUUUUUGAUGUUUGUAUAUUUUAAUAAUUUUAUUAAAUUUUUUUUUCAAAUAAUUUAAAAUCUAAAUUUAAAUUUGAAUUAAAAUAAAAAUUUUUAAAUUUCAAAAUUGUACAAAAUUUAAAAUAUGAUAUUUUAAUUUAAAAGAUAAUUUAAAAUUUUAAAAAUUUAAAAUUUAAAAUAUUAUUAAAUUUAAAAAUUUAAAAAUUUAAAUUUAAAAUAUAUAUAAUUAAUGAAAUUUAAAAUAUAAACUUUUAAUAAUUAAAAAUAUAAAUUAAAAUUAAAAUUUCAAACUUUAAAUUUAAAAUUUAAAAUUUAAAAACUAAAUUUUAAAUUUGAAAUUUAAAAAUUAAAAUUAAAAUUAAAAUUUUAAAAAUAUAAAUAAUUAUGAAAUUUAAAAUAUAAAAUAUUAAUAUUAAAAAAUAUAUUUAAAAUUUUAAAUUUCAAAGUUUAAAUUUCAAAGUUUAAAUUUAAAUUUUAAAUUUUAAAUUUUAAAUUUUAAAAUUUAAAUUUAAAAUAAUUAUGAAAUUUAAAUUUUAAAUUUUAAAUUUUUAAAUUUUGAAAUUUAUAAUUUAAAUUUUAAAAAUUUGAAAUUUAUAAUUUGAAGAUAAAAAUUAUAAUUUAAAAUUUAAAAAUUUUAUAUUUUUAAAUUUAAAUUUUAAAAUCUAAAAUGUCAAAUUUUAAAUUUUAUCUUAAAUUUAAAAUUUGAAAUUUAAAAUUUUAAAAUCUAAAAUUUGAGAUUUGAAAUUUAAAAUUAAAAUUUAAAAUUUAAAGUUUGAAAUCUAUUUUUCAAAAUUUAAAACUUAAAAGUUAAAAUUUAAAAAUUCAAAAAUGAAUCUGAAAAAUAAAAUUUAAAAUUAAAUUUAAAUUUAAGUAUUAAAUUUAAAAUUAAAAUAAAAAUUUGAAGUUUGAGUUCAAAAUCAGAAUCAAAUUUCAAGAAGCAGCUUUCUUCUGCUUCUGAUUCUGAGAUUUUCGAAAUCAGUUUUUUGAUUCUAAAAAGCAGAAUCAGAUUUUAAAAGUGAGUUUGCCAAACGCUCUAUUGAGCCGAAAAUCACUUUUCAAACCCAAAAGCGUUUUUUAAAAACUAGGCCAAACACCACCUAAUUCUAUUGUUGCAUCCAAUUAAUUUUUAAUUGAUUGUAAUUUUUUGUUCAAAAUUUUAGAAUUAUUAUAAUCUAAGUUCUAUAACUUAAUUUAGUUAACUAAAUAUUAAUAUUGCAAACGUAAAAAUAAUAUAGUACUAUUAUUAGUGAUGAUGGAUUAAUAAUGGAGUUAGAGCAAAAACAUAUAGAGAUAUGUUUCGACGUUCUCAGGUGUGACCGUAGAAAAUAUAUUGUAAUCGACUCAUUGCGAUAUACGGAACACAAUUUUACGUACGAAAAUAAAUAUGGUAUUUUCUUAUCGCACGUAAUGCAGUGAUAGGACAAUUCCUAAACAUUCAUGAUACAGUGGUAUAUACUAAAAUAAAAUAUCAUUUUAAUUAUAUGGUGAUUAUAUGUAAUAAUAUAUUAAAAACAAUCAAAAUAUCUAAAUUAAAUUAAGAAAUAUGUACUGAUAUAUAUUAAUAAGUAUAAUUAUUCUACAUUUGCUCAUCAAAGAAGAUAAUCAACUAUACAAAAUAACAAUUCAAAAAAUAUCAAUCAAUUAUCAUCCAAUUUAAUUAAAUAAUAAUAAUAAAUAUUUAGUUGCACAAAUUUGCUCAUUAACUAUAUAUAUCAUCCGAGUGAGCUGGUAUGCUUCUGGAAACACAGAGCCUUCCGUGCUUCCAAGUCGUUUUCGAUGUUGGAACUUUCGAAUCGACAAUCGGCCCCGUUAAACCUGAUCUAGAGCAUUUGAAGUACCUAGAAAAUAAAUUUUCUAAUUUUUCAAUAUAAUUUGCCUAGUGAUCGAAGGGGCUCAAAAUCAAUAAUUUUAAUGGCCGUGGUGAGCCGUUUGUAAGUUUAACAGUGUUGAAAUAUUCAAAUCACGUAAAAAUUUGAUAAAAAUUUUUUUAUACUAUAUAAAACAAGAUCAAUAUUUUUGAUCUAAAGUUUUAAUGUCAUAUCAUCAUAUUUUGGAAGAUUUUUAUUUUCAGCUGUUGAUUUUGAGCCACUUCGAUCACUAGACAAAUGAUAUCAAAAAAUCGCAAAAUUUAUUCUCUAGAUACUUAAAAUACUCUAGAUCAAAUCUAACGGAGUUGAUCGUCGAUUCGAAAGUCUCAAUAUUGAAAAUAACUUGAAAGUACAAAGCGCUAUAUACUUACAGAAGGAUACCAAACGCACUCAUAUCUGGAAGCAUACCAAAUGCACUUAU
rnacentral:lncRNA from 1 species